UACGUAGGUGGCAAGCGUUAUCCGGAUUUAUUGGGCGUAAGGGGAACGCAGGCGGUCUUUUAAGUCUGAUGUGAAAGCCUUCGGCUUAACCGGAGUAGUGCAUUGGAAACUGGGAGACUUGAGUGCAGAAGAGGAGAGUGGAGCUCCAUGUGUAGCGGUGAAAUGCGUAGAUAUAUGGAAGAACACCAGUGGCGAAAGCGGCUCUCUGGUCUGUAACUGACGCUGAGGUUCGAAAGCGUGGGUAGCAAACAGG
rnacentral:rRNA from 1 species